rnacentral:lncRNA from 1 species
GUGCAAUCACAGCUCACUGCUCACUGCAAACUACACUUCCCAGGCUUAAGCAAUCCUUCCACCUCAGCCUCCCAAGUAGCUGGGACUACAGGUGCACACUACCAUGCCUGGCAAAUUUUUGUAUUUUUUGUGGAGACAGAGUUUUGCCAUGUUGUCCAGGCUAGUCUUAAACUCCUACGCUCAAGUGAGUUUAAGUCUUAAACUCCUACUCCUCCAGCCUUGGCCUCCCAAAGUGCUGGGAUUACAGGUGUGAGCCACCAUGCUUGGCCUAUGCCUCUUUAUUUAUCAUAGAUGGCGCAAUAUUCUACCACCCGUCUUUACCUUAUAACACAUGUAUUGGAUUGUUGUAUUCUUCAAAAUUUCAACAAUAUGGUAGGCCUCUGAAUCUCUAUGGAAUUAUUUCUCACUAUGUACUUACUUGGGCAUGUAGGGUAUUUGCCACUUCUUGCUCAUAAGUCACAUUAGCAUCAUGCCACUCAUGUAGUCGACCAGAAUUAUGUUUUGCAGAAUGUCAAGAUGAAGUUACCUGAAAAUGAUGACGGAACAAGAGAAGGAGAAAGCAGCCUGGAUCACAUAUCGGCUUUGGCCUGCUUCUUUCCUGUUCUAUGGCUGUGACCUGUACCCUCCCGGAACCCUCCUUGGAAGGAACAACUUGGCUAACCUGAUUAAUGCUUAGCUGCCAAAAGAUUGAGUUCUCAAUGAAAAUCAUAUGAAGACUUCAGCUGGCAGAGCAACACAAGUGGCUGAGCAGCGAGCAGAGAAGCAACUGAACGUUGGAGACUAUGGAUAGAUGUGGCUAACUUCAGACAGGGCUGCUUCAGAGAGGGGCAGCCGGGCUUCAGGGAGAGAGAGAUCAUUUUCCCGACCGCUUUUCAGUCUCCUUUUCUGCUGAGAGCCAACCACUGCUCAAUAAAGUCUUCUGCAUUCAUCAACCUCUCAAACAGUUCAUGUGACUUGAUUCUUCCUGGAUGCUGGACAAGAACCUGGGUGCUGAGAGGUCAGAGGCUGCCACCUUGACCCUCCAGUGAGCUGGUUGGCACUCCCCUGUCCCUGGACGGCUGAUCUGACAGAGUAUUGGUCAUAACAUGCUUGGACUCUGGCCAGUUCCAGUGUUUGUUCGCUUCAGUUCCUGCACUUGCUCGCUCGCACCCUCCCUCCUGAGCGGAGGAGUGGCCAGCGGUGGGCAGAGUGAAAGAACCACUCCAGUUCCUGCCUGCGAAGGGGGUAAACAAAGUAUCCCAUCACAUCAAGAUACCUCUGAAUAUGAACAGCUAGGAAUCUGAUGGCUGCAAAGAUGACUAUUACCCAAAUUGUGAAGAAGAGAAAGAGAAGGAAAACCAGAACCCUGAAGAUAGACAAAAUUAUUAUGUGCAAGUAGCCAAUGACAUGAGGCAGCAGGAAUUUGACACUUUUGAUAAUGAGGCAUACCAGUGGUCAUCAUCCCAACCUACAGGAGUUCAAGGGCAUCCUAAACAAGUACAUAGCCAUAUUAGUCUUAAUGCUACUAUAGGAAAUUAUAUAGGAAAGAAAAAUCUUUUCAAUAAAUGGUGCUGGAAAAAUUAGAUGGACAUAUGGAAAAAGAUUAGUCUCAAUCCUUACCUCAUGCUACACAAAAAACUAAUUUUGAGAUGCAUCAUGGACCUAAACUCAAAAGCUAAAACUAAAAGGCUUCUAGAGAAAAACAGAAGAAUAUCUUCAUGACUGUGGGGUUGGCAAAGAUUUUUUUCCAUGAGACCGAAAAGUACCAACCUCAAAAAAACUAACACAUUGGGUUUAAUCAAAAUGUAAAACCAUAAGAGACACCGUUAAGCAAAUGAAUAAACAAGCCAGGACCAAAAGAAAAUAUUUGUAAUACAUACAUCUGACAAAGGAUGUGUAUCUAGGGGAUGGAAAGAAUUCUUACAACUCAGUAAUAAAGAUAACUCAGUUUUAAAAUUUGUCAAAGUGACAUUUGUAAGCAAAAAAAA